rnacentral:sRNA from 1 species
CACUGUCAAUCUAUCUACCACUGCUAAUCUAUGCCACUGCCAAUCUAUCUAUUGCUGCUAAUCUAUCGCUGCUGUCAAUCUAUCUACUGCUGUCAAUCUAUCUAUCACUGCCAAUCUAUCUACCACUGCCAAUCUACCUACCGCUGCCAAUCUAUCUACCACUGCUAAUCUAUCACUGCUAAUCUAUCGCUGCUAAUCUAUUGCUGCUAAUCUAUCUAUCACUGCUAAUCUAUUGCUGCCAAUCUAUCUACCGCUGCCAAUCUAUCUACCACUGCCAAUCUAUCUACCACUGCCAACCUAUCUACCACUGCUAAUCUAUCACUGCUAAUCUAUCGCUGCCAACCUAUCUACCACUGCUAAUCUAUCACUGCUAAUCUAUCGCUGCCAAUCUAUAUAGGGUAAAUCAUGGUCCCAUUUGAUCCCAUUUUGUAAAAUGGGAUCAAAUGGGACUGGAACCACUAAUUUAUUAGUAAAACAUAAUCUGAGACUAGAUUUAUAAUAUAAACAGUGUAAAGUGACUAAUUUAUUAAAUACUAUAUGAGAUCAGAACUAAGAUAUCUAAUAAUGGAACUGAGGAAAAAUUUGGUCCCAGUCCCAUGUAUGAUCAUAUAGCC